rnacentral:rRNA from 1 species
GACGAACGCUGGCGGCGUGCCUAAUACAUGCAAGUCGAACGAGAGCGACCGGUGCUUGCACUGGUCAAUCUAGUGGCGAACGGGUGAGUAACACGUGGGUAACCUGCCCAUCAGAGGGGGAUAACAUCCGGAAACGGAUGCUAAAACCGCAUAGGUCUUCGAGCCGCAUGGCUUGAAGAGGAAAAGAGGCGCAAGCUUCUGCUGAUGGAUGGACCCGCGGUGCAUUAGCUAGUUGGUGAGGUAACGGCUCACCAAGGCCGUGAUGCAUAGCCGACCUGAGAGGGUGAUCGGCCACAUUGGGACUGAGACACGGCCCAAACUCCUACGGGAGGCAGCAGUAGGGAAUCUUCCGCAAUGGACGCAAGUCUGACGGAGCAACGCCGCGUGAGUGAAGAGGGUUUUCGGAUCGUAAAACUCUGUUGUUAGAGAAGAACAAGUGCUAGAGUAACUGUUAGCGCCUUGACGGUAUCUAACCAGAAAGCCACGGCUAACUACGUG